rnacentral:sRNA from 1 species
GCUGUGUUAUAUAUGGUAAUGUGUAUCAUCUCCUAAGGAUUUUGCUAAAAUAUUUAUAUGUAUUUUAUGGAGUUUUCUUUUUAAUGGCUAAUGUUUGGGGCUGAUAAUGUGAUUCACUACUUAAGAUAAACUGCUGCUUUUGACAUUUCUUUACAUUUCUAACCUUUUUAUUAAUCCUUAAACACUGUCAAGGUUUUUCAGUGUUUUUUAAAUUUAACACAAAUUCAUUGGAAUUUUAUUAAAAUAUAUAUUAUACUACAAAUUCUUUUAAUUAGUGCUUGCUUUUUUUCUGUGGUAGACAUCUGAUGCAACCCUGUUUAUGCGAUGCCCAGAAUUUUGCACUAUUGACACUGUUGAUAGAAUUGAUGUUUUAAUGGUACUUGUAAUCAAUAAACUAUUUUUUAUAUAAAGAGAUGAGGCCAAAGACUACAAUUCCCUUGUCAACCUUGAUAGUGUUUUAGUAUAGAUGUUCUUUCAUUAGAUACUGGAAAUACAAGGGAUUUUAGGUAGUUAGUGAAUGUACAUGUGAACUAAAAUGCUCUCUGUGUAUUUUCUGUUGUGUAAGUACUUGUUCUAAUCCAGUGUUAUUGCAUUAUGUAAUUGUUCUCCCUGGGAAAAACAGAAUGGCAUGCAUUUUCCACAAUACGCACCCCCUGUAAUGGCCUAUCCUGCUACUACACCAACAGGCAUGAUAGGAUAUGGAAUUCCUCCACAAAUGGGAAGUGUCCCUGUAAUGA